rnacentral:rRNA from 1 species
GUUGCUUCGGUAACUGAGCUAGCGGCGGACGGGUGAGUAAAGCUUAGGAAUCUGCCUAUUAGUGGGGGACAACAUUUCGAAAGGGAUGCUAAUACCGCAUACGUCCUACGGGAGAAAGCAGGGGACCUUCGGGCCUUGCGCUAAUAGAUGAGCCUAAGUCGGAUUAGCUAGUUGGUGGGGUAAAGGCCUACCAAGGCGACGAUCUGUAGCGGGUCUGAGAGGAUGAUCCGCCACACUGGGACUGAGACACGGCCCAGACUCCUACGGGAGGCAGCAGUGGGGAAUAUUGGACAAUGGGGGGAACCCUGAUCCAGCCAUGCCGCGUGUGUGAAGAAGGCCUUUUGGUUGUAAAGCACUUUAAGUGGGGAGGAGGCUUACCUGGUUAAUACCUGGGCUAAGUGGACGUUACCCACAGAAUAAGCACCGGCUAACUCUGUGCCAGCAGCCGCGGUAAUACAGAGGGUGCGAGCGUUAAUCGGAUUUACUGGGCGUAAAGCGCGCGUAGGUGGUUAAUUAAGUCAAAUGUGAAAUCCCCGAGCUUAACUUGGAAAUUGCAUUCGAUACUGGUUAGCUAGAGUAUGGGAGAGGAUGGUAGAAUUCCAGGUGUAGCGGUGAAAUGCGUAGAGAUCUGGAGGAAUACCGAUGGCGAAGGCAGCCAUCUGGCCUAAUACUGACACUGAGGUGCGAAAGCAUGGGGAGCAAACAGGAUUAG